rnacentral:rRNA from 1 species
GCCCGAGGCGCAAGCCUGGGGCAACCGGCGAACGGGUGCGUAACACGUGAGCAACCUACCCAGGUGUGGGGGAUAGCCGUCCCAACGGACGGGUAAUACCGCAUACGCUCUUCUUUAGGCAUUUAGAGAAGAGGAAACCUUCGGGGCACCAUGAGGGGCUCGCGGCCUAUCAGCUAGUUGGUGAGGUAACGGCUCACCAAGGCUACGACGGGUAGCUGGUCUGAGAGGAUGGCCAGCCACAUUGGGACUGAGAAACGGCCCAGACUCCUACGGGAGGCAGCAGUGGGGAAUCUUGCGCAAUGGCCUAACGGCUGACGCAGCGACGCCGCGUGAGGGAUGACGCUCUUCGGAGUGUAAACCUCUUUUGCCCGGAACGAAUUGCCACCAUCAGGUGGCUUGACGGUACCGGUUGAAUAAGCACCGGCUAACUCCGUGCCAGCAGCCGCGGUAAUACGGGGGGUGCGAGCGUUGUCCGGAAUCACUGGGCGUAAAGGGCGCGUAGGUGGCGUGAUAAGGGUGUGGUGAAAGCCCGGGGCUCAACCCCGGGUCUGCCAUGCCGACUGUCAGGCUCGAGUACUGUAGGGGCAGGCGGAAUUCCGGGUGUAGCGGUGGAAUGCGUAGAGAUCCGGAGGAAGACCGGUGGCGAAGGCGGCCUGCUGGGCAGUUACUGACACUGAUGCGCGACAGCGUGGGGAGCAAACAGGAUUAGAUACCCUGGUAGUCCACGCCGUAAACGAUGGGUACUAGGUGCCUGGGGGAGCGACCCCUUGGGUGCCGGCGCUAACGCAGGAAGUACCCCGCCUGGGGAGUACGGCCGCAAGGCUGAAACUCAAAGGAAUUGACGGGGGC